rnacentral:rRNA from 1 species
AUGGCGAGCCGAGGAAGCCGAAGCGACACGGGAGUGCUCUCACUCCCUUAUCCAUCUGCCACCGGGCCUCGGCCCGCCACGCUCCCUCGCUCGCCUGGGCCUGCCUCUUGCUCCGCUGACCCACUGGGCCGGCGGGGAUGGCGACGGCGGAGGUGCUGCGGCGGCCGGUCACGGGGGAGAGGGCCGGCGCGCCGGCUCCGCCUCCACGGGCCCAACGUCGUCGUCUGCUCCCACCACGUCAAGGACGGAAGCAUGUUUCGAGAAUUCCUGAUGACAAUCUUCUCACUCUGGGGAUGGCAUCAUGUCCUCCCUGAGUACAAGGCCAUGCUCUGCGUCAUACUUAAUUCCAUGCCAUGGGUUACUGUACUAACUACAGUCGUGUCUCUCACCAUCACAUCAGCUGCUCAGAGAUCUUACGUGCUGACCGCCGUCAUCUUCUUACUAGCUACAACCUUGGUAGCAUGCUUUGCUGCAAAGCUUGUUGUAGAGUAUGCUAAGGCGCCUCUGGAGGCCAAAGCAUACGCACCAAGGGCCAAGGUGCUGAGAGACGGGAGUCGGAUAGAUGUGCACGCAGAUAAUUUCGUCCCUGGGGAUAUCAUAUUUCUCAAGGUUGGGGAUAUUGUCCCUGCCAAUGCUCGUGUCCUCUGGUUUCACAAAAUUGACAUGCUGACUUGCUGAGCUAAAAGAUCUGUUGACUGUGUGCAUGGCUUCCUCAUAUAUUAUGCUUGGACGGUGUCAUGUGGCCAAGGGACUGCUGUUGUUAUUGCGACUGGCAGUGGUAUCCCUAGAUGCACACUGCGACUCUACCCACAGCGUUAUGCUCGGCCAGGGCAACUUAAAGAGGGAAUCAUGGUUACUGGGUGCUUCUGUUUUUCUCUUAUACUUGCUGGCACCGUUGCUGAGCUAGUCUUAAUAUUGCUCUUCCGUAAACACAACCUUGAGUACAUGCUGCACAAUUGCCACUUUAUGCCAUUGAUUGGUGGGAUUCCAAUGGCAAUGCCCAUUGUCCUCUACCUGGCAUUAGCAUUGGGAUCUCUAAGGCUUUGUUUUCUGGGAAUUGCUAGCCGAGGAACAGUUGCACUUGAAGAUCUGGCCGGUACGGAUGUGAUGCUCUUCAACCUGAUUGGUACUCCCUUGUUUAAUAAGCCAUAUUUGUUCCGGGACAAGAUUGAGUUGUUUGCUGACGGUUUUAACAAAGAUCAAGCUAUUAUAUUAGCUGCACGAGCAUCAAGAUCUCAACAUGAAAUAUAUAUAGAGCCAAUUGAUGCAGCUAUUCUGAGCCGCUUGGAUGAUCCAGAACAGGCAAGAACUGGUAUUGAGGUCUUAGAACACCAUUCCCGCUUCUUUGUUGCACUGAAGUUGAUGUUCCUAACUACAUACAUUGAUAGCAAUGGACCCAAGUGCUGCGUAUUCAAAGGUGAUCCAUCGAAGGUGGAUCAUCAAUGUGGCGGCAAAGCAGUCAAACAGACAAGAAGCAUGGUGAUGGAUAAUUUUGCUCUUGAUGGGUAUCAAGCCAUAGCUGUAGGACACCAGGUAGGCUCAUGCUGGGAGUACAUUGGUCUUCUAUCUUUCAGAGAUGACCUUAGAAGUGAUAGUGCAGAUUCCAUUGAUAGCCUUAUCGAUUUGGGUUUGGAUAUAAGAAUCCCCACAGAGGCCAUUGUUUUGACUACAAAGCAAGUAUGUGCAAAGCUUGGAAAAGUAGGCAUCAAUGUGUUACCUGCCCACUCGGUGUUUGAUUUAGCUCGUAAUAACAGAUAAGUUCACUUAAACAUCAAUGGGAUUUCUGAUCUCUUUCCAGACGAUAACAGUGAUAUAGUGAGAAGGCUAAGAGAUUUCGGAUGGCAUUGCGCAAUGAUUGGGUAUGAAUUUCUUGAUCAUGAUGCCAUAGGUGAAAGCAAUAUUGGAAUUUCAGUAGCUGAGGCCAGUGAUUACACCAAAAGUGAAUCUGAUCUUGUUUUGACUCAGCCUGUCCUGUUACCUAUUUCAUCAGCUGUGCAAAUCAGUAGGGAGAUGUGUCAAAUUAUGAGGGGUUACACGAUCUACACUGUGUCAUCAACUGUGUGUCUUGUUGGUAUCCAUGUCAUUUUACUCUUGUGGAACUUUAACUUGCCAAGUUUCCUGGCUUUGGUGAUUGCCACUUUUAGCUAUUGUACAUCCUUUGCAAUAUUAUUUGAAAGGGUGGAACUGAGUAAUUCACCAGAUAGAUAGAGAGUUAAGAAAAUCAUUGCAAGCGGUGUUGCUUCUGGUAGCUACAUAAUUCUGAGUACAGCCAUUUUUUUCAGGGCUGCAACACUUCCAGACUUCUUUUCAUAUAAAUUCUGAGGUAGAUCGCUGAUGGGCUCCGAUGAAGAAAUUAGAGCUGCUUUGUUCCUUCAGAUGAGCAUAGUGAACCAGGCUGUACUGUUUGUUCAUUCUGACAACUGCUACCUUAUCAGAUGUCCUGGACCUGUUGUAGCAUGUACUUUUAUUUUUACUCAGAUGGUGGCAACCCAUAAAACUGUAUAUGGUGACUUGGAUUUGGCACUACCAAAGGGUGUUGGUUGCCUCAGAGCAGGAUUGAUAUGGUUGUACAACUUUGUGGUGCUCAUGACCCCUGUUUUAAUUUGUCACACAUGGAGGCGUGCAAACAUGACUAGUGAAAAGUUGCUGACAAUAUGCAUACAUUCAGCCAUCUUGCGUAUAGCUUUGCUCUGGUCACUGUAUGCAAUACUUGAUGUCAGGCUGCAGCAGCCGGGCUCUACUUAG